rnacentral:rRNA from 1 species
AUACGUAGGGGGCGAGCGUUGUCCGGAAUGACUGGGCGUAAAGGGCGUGUAGGCGGCGGUGUAAGUCUGGAGUGAAAGUCCCGCAUUCAAUGUGGGAAUUGCUUUGGAUACUGCAGUGCUAGAGUGCGGAAGAGGUAAGUGGAAUUCCCAGUGUAGCGGUGAAAUGCGUAGAGAUUGGGAGGAACACCAGUGGCGUAGGCGACUUACUGGGCCGGAACUGACGCUGAGGCGCGAAAGCGUGGGGAGCAAACAGGAUUAGAUACCCUGGUAGUCCACGCUGUAAACGAUGAUUACUAGGUGUGGGGGGACUGACCCCUUCCGUGCCGCAGUUAACACAAUAAGUAAUCCACCUGGGGAGUACGGCCGCAAGGUUGAAACUCAAAUGAAUUGACGGGG